CGUCCUUUUUUGUGAUGAUGUUUUCGUUUAAAGUUGGAAAAAAUUGUUUGUACCAACAAAAAUAAAUACAUGAAGUUAAUCCAGAAUUAUGUGUUUAUCAUUUUUUUUAUGUUUAGGUUGCCAGCAAGAUGAAAAGAACAAUGCAGUUCAAAAGUCAAAAUGUGGAUAAGCUGAGAUACAAGGUCCUACUUUUGCAGAUUUUCAUAUUUUGCAUGAAUGAAUUUGAAGUUUAUACCAUGGAGGGCAGAGAAAGAAAAGAAACACUUCAAUUUUCCUGCUUCUGAAGAAUAAAUGUAAAACAUCUUGUUCGAAGGAUUGAAAUUCAUCACUUAGAAUAAAAGGAGAAAACACAGAAACAAGACCAGAAUAAAUUCAAAGACAAAAGUCAGAUCAGUUAUUAUUUUCAUCACUCAGUCAAUGAAUCGAAGUUCUAUUAAAUAUCUAAAGAUAUUAAAACCACAAUAAUGACAAUGUUCUGUGCUGAAUGGCCAAAAAGUGGACUAUACAUUACGAUCACACAAUGCUGGAUGAUAAGAAACUAUUAAUUUUUUGGGUGGAGGGAUAUCCUGAAAAAAAAAUUAGAUUUAUGUAAAAAGCUACUAGUAUGUUAAGCUUAAUAAUAGAGUUUUCAUUGAUUCCAAAUGGGAAAAAAUUGUGUUUCAAAAAAGUAUUCUAGAAUUCAUAAAUAAACAUAUAUUGAUACUUACA